GCGGAAAUAAAAAGCCGCAGUAGUCCAAACCCUCCUGCCCUCAACCCACGCCCCCUUUCUCAGUCCCUGCGGAGGGACGGUGCCCGGGGAUCCCUCUCAGCCUCCCCCAGUGCGCGCCCGGGGACGAGCCGCCCGAGCCCCGGCCGGCAGGAAGCGACCCUCGCCGGCAGGACCCCGGGCCGAACCCGUACCUUCCGCAGCACUUUCCGGCAGUUGGUACAGAGCAGGUAGUUGGCGGCGGCCGACGGGCUGCCGCCGCCCCGGUUCAUCGUGGCUGCGGGCGCCGAGGCGAGAGCGGGCGGAGGGCCGGGUCCGGGCUGUCACUGCGGCCACUGCAGGGCCGGUCCGUCCCCCCGCCGCCAGCCGCGAUUCCGCCUCAGCCUCCUCAAGGCGGGAUGUCGGGAGGAGAGGCGACUGCCUGAAAGCUAGCGGCACUGCCAGAGGCGACCACCGCGGCAGCUGCCCCAGCGACGGCGGAGACGGCGGCGGCUGCUCCUCACCGGCCCGUUGUUCCACCCGCCCCCAUCUUCCAGACCCCCGCCCCCGCCAGGCUAGGACGAGCAGCCGCCACCGCUGCCACCGCCACCACCGCCGCCGCAGCGCCUCAGUGCGGCCCCGCCUCCGCCGCCCCACCACCUUCACCACCUCCACGCUCCGGUACCGCCCCUCCCGCCAAUCGGACAGCUCCGGCUACGCCCCCAGGGCGCUAGCCCGCAGCCAAUGAGCAACGAGAGCCCGACUGGGAGUCGCGCCGGCCAAUCGCAGGGGCCGAGGAAGCCUUGAAUCUCCGGGCAAGUUAAGUUUAUCUCCGAGGCUCGGAACUGAAGGGAGGUGGCGGUUAGCUAAGUAGUAGGGUAGCAGGGAACAGUUUGCUCUCCUCUGCCAAUAAGAGGACGAGGGUGUGUCAUAUGCAAAUAUACUGCCCUCCAAGCCCCACCCCCAAGAUAAGCUACGCCCCCUUCUCUAGGUCCCUGCAGAAGUGGUGAGGAGAAUGAGAUAAAUAGUUGGGAGCUAGAGCUCGCUAGAGAGUCUAAGAUUGAGCUAAAUAUUUCCUGAUCUCUCGAGAAAGGGGGAGGGGAGUGGGAGGAUUAAAUGUUCCUUCCUUCAGGGCAGUGGUUAGGCUUUCUCUCCACCAAAAUCUAACUUUAGCUGUAAAGAAGACUGCAGUUAUGUAGUACUUUGUAUCCAGGGAUCUCAAAGAACUUUACGCAUCAUUUAUUGUGAACCUUGUUUUGCAAAGAUUUCAGUUACUUGAGGCUUGGGAGGCGGAUAGGGGAUAAAUGUCUGAGUUAUAUAUAUAUUUACGCAAGUAAUCGAGUUUGAGGGGAGAGACACAAAACCUCUGGUUUAGCGGUUUCCUCUUGUUUGUGAAGCACCUUCUAGCAGUUAUCUUAGAGAUGUAAGUUCAUUUACUUGUCCAGCACUAAAAGGCCAAAGGGGCUUGUUUUCUCACCCAAAAGACCUUCCUGAGGCAGCUGUUCGGAUACAUGCAGAGCACAGCGCCCUGCUCAGAAAGGAAGGUUCAGAGAACAAAUUGUCGUUUAAAACUAUUGGGACAAACCUACCUCUUCUAAAGCUUAAAAUGGUCUCCAGCGUACCAGGAUUUGUGAAGGCCUGAAGUUCGUAGAAUGAAAUCUAUGUGGAGAUGAUUUAAAAGAACGGUUUCACUGGUUUGCAUUUCUUUCUUUUCUUUUUAAUUAAAAAAAAACAACAACCCUGGUUUCCUUAGGGAUUCAGGGUGGUGUUAUGCAAAAUCGGAAAGGUACACUUGGAGGAGCUAGCAAGUUUAGCAUAUCAAAGCUAUUAGACCAAUUUGUGCGGUUAAAACUGCCAUUCUCAUUUCUCAACAGCUGUCUCCUCUCUGUCCCUUUUUAGAGACCAACACAUAUAAACCAAGUCUACACAAGAAACAAAGGUAAUGGAAAUCUGCUAGUAUCAGGUUUAAAUAGAUCAAAAUAGAGUAGAAAACCCCAAAAGGGUCUAAGUUAUGUAGUUGGGUAAAGGUGUUGAUCUAUUUAGCCAGUGUUAGCUAAAGGUCGCUUGAUGCUGUGUAGACAUACAUAACUAAAGAGCAAUGAAUGGUGUGGGGAAGGUGCUUAAGAUUCAGUUAGAAGAAACUGUAAAAGCAAGUAAAUUCAGAAAAGGAGGGAAUUACCACAUGCCCUUCGAUGCAGAGAACCAAGAAAUGCAGGGAGAAAGUCAGCAAGGCACAGUUUUUCUAAGAAACACAUAUGUGUCCCCAUUUAGUGGUAAAUUUCUUGGGCUAUAUUCCUGGCUGGUUCUGGCUUUUAAAGCAGAUUUUAUGUGAGUACAUUUUAAAGGAAAGGAGAAAUUGAAGGAUG
rnacentral:lncRNA from 1 species